rnacentral:rRNA from 1 species
GACGAACGCUGGCGGCGUGCUUAACACAUGCAAGUCGAACGGAAAGGCCCUGCUUUUGUGGGGUGCUCGAGUGGCGAACGGGUGAGUAACACGUGAGUAACCUGCCCUUGACUUUGGGAUAACUUCAGGAAACUGGGGCUAAUACCGGAUAGGAGCUCCUGCUGCAUGGUGGGGGUUGGAAAGUUUCGGCGGUUGGGGAUGGACUCGCGGCUUAUCAGCUUGUUGGUGGGGUAGUGGCUUACCAAGGCUUUGACGGGUAGCCGGCCUGAGAGGGUGACCGGCCACAUUGGGACUGAGAUACGGCGCAGACUCCUACGGUAGACAGCAGUGGGGAAUAUUGCACAGUGGGCGGAAGCGUGAUGCAGCAACGCCGCGUGCGGGAUGACGGCCUUCGGGUUGUAAACCGCUUUCGCCUGUGACGAAGCGUGAGUGACGGUAAUGGGUAAAGAAGCACCGGCUAACUACGUG